rnacentral:rRNA from 1 species
GGGUGAGUAACACGUGGGCAAUCUGCCCUAAAGACUGGGAUACCACUUGGAAACAGGUGCUAAUACCGGAUAACAACAUGAAUCGCAUGAUUCAAGUUUGAAAGGCGGCGUAAGCUGUCACUUUAGGAUGAGCCCGCGGCGCAUUAGCUAGUUGGUGGGGUAAAGGCCUACCAAGGCAAUGAUGCGUAGCCGAGUUGAGAGACUGAUCGGCCACAUUGGGACUGAGACACGGCCCAAACUCCUACGGGAGGCAGCAGUAGGGAAUCUUCCACAAUGGACGCAAGUCUGAUGGAGCAACGCCGCGUGAGUGAAGAAGGUUUUCGGAUCGUAAAGCUCUGUUGUUGGUGAAGAAGGAUAGAGGCAGUAACUGGUCUUUAUUUGACGGUAAUCAACCAGAAAGUCACGGCUAACUACGUGCCAGCAGCCGCGGUAAUACGUAGGUGGCAAGCGUUGUCCGGAUUUAUUGGGCGUAAAGCGAGCGCAGGCGGAAUGAUAAGUCUGAUGUGAAAGCCCACGGCUCAACCGUGGAACUGCAUCGGAAACUGUCAUUCUUGAGUGCAGAAGAGGAGAGUGGAAUUCCAUGUGUAGCGGUGGAAUGCGUAGAUAUAUGGAAGAACACCAGUGGCGAAGGCGGCUCUCUGGUCUGCAACUGACGCUGAGGCUCGAAAGCAUGGGUAGCGAACAGGAUUAGAUACCCUGGUAGUCCAUGCCGUAAACGAUGAGCGCUAGGUGUUGGGGACUUUCCGGUCCUCAGUGCCGCAGCAAACGCAUUAAGCGCUCCGCCUGGGGAGUACGACCGCAAGGUUGAAACUCAAAGGAAUUGACGG